CACGUAGGGGGCGAGCGUUGUCCGGAUUUAUUGGGCGUAAAGAGCUCGUAGGCGGCUCAGUAAGUCAGGUGUGAAAACUCCAGGCUCAACCUGGAGACGCCACCUGAUACUGCUGUGGCUAGAGUCCGGUAGGGGAGCAUGGAAUUCCUGGUGUAGCGGUGAAAUGCGCAGAUAUCAGGAGGAACACCAGUGGCGAAGGCGGUGCUCUGGGCCGGCACUGACGCUGAGGAGCGAAAGCGUGGGGAGCGAACAGG
rnacentral:rRNA from 1 species